GAUGAACGCUGGCGGCGUGCUUAACACAUGCAAGUCGAACGGUGAAGGCGGAGCUUGCUCUGCUGGAUCAGUGGCGAACGGGUGAGUAACACGUGAGCAAUCUGCCCCUGACUCUGGGAUAAGCGCUGGAAACGGCGUCUAAUACUGGAUACGAGCUGCGAAGGCAUCUUCAGCAGCUGGAAAGAAUUUCGGUCAGGGAUGAGCUCGCGGCCUAUCAGCUUGUUGGUGAGGUAAUGGCUCACCAAGGCGUCGACAGGUAGCCGGCCUGAGAGGGUGACCGGCCACACUGGGACUGAGACACGGCCCAGACUCCUACGGGAGGCAGCAGUGGGGAAUAUUGCACAAUGGGCGAAAGCCUGAUGCAGCAACGCCGCGUGAGGGACGACGGCCUUCGGGUUGUAAACCUCUUUUAGCAGGGAAGAAGCGAAAGUGACGGUACCUGCAGAAAAAGCGCCGGCUAACUACGUG
rnacentral:rRNA from 1 species